rnacentral:rRNA from 1 species
UACGUAGGGUGCGAGCGUUGUCCGGAAUUACUGGGCGUAAAGGGCUCGUAGGUGGCCAACUAAGUCAGACGUGAAAUCCCCAGGCUCAACUUGGGAACUGCGUCUGAUACUGGAUGGCUUGAAUUCGGGAGAGGGAUGCAGAAUUCCACGUGUAGCAGUGAAAUGCGUAGAUAUGUGGAGGAACACCGAUGGCGAAGGCAGCCCCCCUGGGGUUAACACUGACGCUCAUGCACGAAAGCGUGGGGGAGCAAACAGGG